CCUAAGCCACACAAAGGUACAAAGACGUGAAGUCACAGAGCAAGACAACCCGCUCUUUCAGUCAGUCAAAGCCAACUACAAGCAUGAACCACUGGGGACCCUAUCCUCGCCCUAAAUCCCCAGGGAUUAAACCCAAGCAGAUGACCAAUGAUUUGAGUGACAGAUGGCUGACAGAAGGGUAUUAACACUGGCCUGGGGUUGUCAAUAUCACCUUUAGUAUAAUGUGAACAUCUAUCAAGAGGGAACAAAACAACACAUCACAAAGAACAAUUAACGACUUGACUGUAAGGAUCGAUAGCCAUAAAGGUGCCUGACUCUGAAGGUGAGGGUUCGGAGCCCAAUUCUGGUGUCCCCCGACAUAAUAUUGUUGAAAUAUUGAAAAAGUGGCAUAAAACCUCACUCACUCUGAUAGAAAUGGUGGAACAUGAUGACUCUGAUGAUCAUAAAGUUGAGUUGUAGAGUCCCCAUAACAACAGUCAGA